UACGAAGGGGGCUAGCGUUGCUCGGAAUCACUGGGCGUAAAGCGCACGUAGGCGGCUUUCUAAGUCAGGGGUGAAAUCCUGGAGCUCAACUCCAGAACUGCCUUUGAUACUGGAGAGCUCGAGUCCGGAAGAGGUGAGUGGAACUGCGAGUGUAGAGGUGAAAUUCGUAGAUAUUCGCAAGAACACCAGUGGCGAAGGCGGCUCACUGGUCCGGUACUGACGCUGAGGUGCGAAAGCGUGGGGAGCAACAGG
rnacentral:rRNA from 1 species